GAAUUCCUACACGGCUGUGCCUCUCCCACCCCGUCCUCUUUGCUCGGAAGGGAGACCUGGUUUGCUCUCCUCCAUGACAGCCCAGCCCCUGCUGUGCACAGGGGUGGGGCUCGGGAUCCCUCCCUGCACCCUGAUGUUUAUUAACUGUAGAUAGUGAAUUUCAAGUUGACAGGUACCUUCUCAGGGAUUUAUAUAUAAAUAUAGUUAGAGGAAAAGUUGAAGUCUAUUUUACUACUUUUUAGUGUUUGAGUAAAUUAUGCUUUAACUGGACAGAAGAAAUAUUUCUCAGACAAUGUCGAUGCUGCUGAUGACAACUGAGAUGCCUGGAGCUCACCCUUGAUGGAGACUUCCUUGGUGAUUGGAGAUGGGGGACUCUGGUGGCAGAAAUGGCUUUGGGGUAGGUGUGAAGUUGCUUCAGUCCCUCUGAGUUGCCUCUUCUGGAUGGAACGUGUGUAUCAACAACAAUGAAAUGCACCUCCGUGUGCAUGGAGGCGGCUGAUGAGAAUACAGAUAGGCCAGUCCUCGCUCUUCCCUCCAGAACCGGCCGCUCCCGGUCUGACGUUGGAGCACGUGAACUAAGAGUGACAAUUUUUUCUACUUGCUUCUGUGAAUAAAGUGUUCUACAGUCAGCCCAGCACUAAACUCACCAGAAAAGAGGAGGGAACAGCACGGAGCCAUUCAUCUGGAAUUACUCGAUGUGCAGAGGCUGCCCCUUGGCCGCACUUGGGAACAUCGUGGACAUCUUCCUUCCUCUCAGGCUCCUCCUGACAGACUCCUGGCAGCACUGGAGACCUCAGGACUAUGGAGAUCAGAAUUGUAAUGGCUUUGUCAUCUCAGUGUGGCCACUCCUGAGGCAAGAGGCUCCUCCUGGGAGCAGGAGAGAGAGAGUUUGUGAUGUUGGUUGGAAAAUAGGAUUUAUGGAUGCAGGAGGGCCGUGCUAGGCCCCUCUGCCCGCUUCUCUCCCUGCUGUUGGCGGUGACCAGGUCUCAGGAGCGGAGACGAGGCUGUUGUGAGUGAAACAGAAGCCCCUGGCAUAGGGCCAGACCCUAGGCCUGAAAAGGAUGCAAAGCCUGCUGUUUUCAGGCUGUUGGGAAGAAUCGUGCGUACCGAGUGAUUAUGAUGAAACGUAUCCCAGAGAGGAAAUGAAUGGGACCUGAAAAGUGGGUCUGCCACAUCCCUGGUAGCCCGCCUCCAAGAGCACUACACUCCCCCCAGCCCCACCGGCCACACUACAUGACGUGGGAAGGCUGUCCGUUCAUCCUUACCCUGGGGACUCAAGUGUGCUCUGCGGAGUGAGUCACAGCCCUGAUGUGCACCCUGCACUACUCUUUCCCCAGGUGCGCCGGAGACGCAGGCUUGCUCAUUUCCGUCCUGACACAGCUCGCUGUUCCUGCGGUGGUCAGAGUCCCCCUGUGCUGUGUCAGCUCCUGGACACUACUAGUCUUUCACAUGAUAAAGCGCGAGCACUUUUUCGCUUUUGCAGUAUUUGGGGAAAUUCUAACACAUUUCCCGGGGAUUUGCCCAGGUCCCUCCACCUCCCACGGUGGGUAACUGUGUGGAUUCUGCACCUGGCAAUCGGCGCUCCCCUUUGGAAACACCUGGGGGCCCUGUUUCUUCCAGCCUGGUCCUUGGUUUCUACCCCAGCCGCUUUCAGCCGGCACCUGCAUGGGACUGCCUGGAGGGCCACGGUCCAGGGAAGGACAGGUGGGACCCUGACCAUGACAGAUCUUUCUAAAACAAUAAAGUCCCAUUGAUGACAACUGCAGUGGGAUGAAUGCCAUUGCAGCGGUCAUGCUGGGAGCUGCCGAGAGCUUACAACAAAAGCAGUUCCUCUCAAGACACUGCUUGCAUCUUCCCUCCACGCCUCUCGGUGCAUUUGGAACUUGUUUAUGCGCUGGUAUAACUCGAGUCAGCUGCUUAUUUCUGUGCCCUUGCACUCACAGGUUCCUUCAUUAACAUUUUAAAUAAGUGGCUAAAAAAACUCCUCUGGAGGUUGUUUUUGAAAGAGACAGGAAAAAGAAACACACAGUACCUGGAUUGUUUUGACUUAUUUUCAAGCGACUCAGCUGAAAGCCGGUGUUGCAUACACAAUUUCCUCACGCUGACCCAGCCUGACUAAGACUUGAUAAAAGGCACAGCCCUUGGCAGCAGGCAGUGCCAAUGUGGACAGUGUACACUAAGCUGUGAGUGUGUGCACGGGCGAGCACAUGUAUGUGUACUCAUACAUCCAGAUGAACUAAAGGGACACUGGGCUUUGUGCUGGCAAAGGUUACGAUGCUGCUGUAGCUUGGCUGUGGGCCCCAGGCAGUGUCAGAUGGAACCUGCUUUGAUGGCGUGUUGUUCAGUGUACUCAGUGGGGUCUCACAUGGCCCGAGGACCCACUGUGAGCACUCCGCCCGCUGUGGCACAGAACACGGCUGGGGUCAUCACAGCCCAGGUCUUUAUUGAAAGGCGGCUCAUAUAGAACCCAUUUGGCCAGGUCUGGGCCAUCUCUCUGCCUCUGCCCUAUCUUGGCUGCCUGGAGGGGCCCAGGCCCAAGAGGAUUCUUUACCCCUGGAAGAGCUCCCCAGGCAUUCAGCCUAUGGCCCUUGACAUUUGGCUGCAGGUUACCGUCAGAAUCAACACCAUAUCCUGAGGAAGCCCUGGUAUUUCCCCAAGUCUGCCUAUGUAUUAGACACUCUAAUCAAUGCUAACACAGUUCAGUUUUUGAGGGAACUAGUUUUGUCAUAAUACUACACCCCUCUAUUGUUUUUAAAUAAGAAAAAAAAAAACCCCACGAAACUUUCCAUCAAAGCAAUGGUCCGUGUUGGCCUGAUGCUUUAAGAAGUUUGAGGAGGUAGGUAUGGAGGCACCUUAACACCAGUUUUUGAGCAGAAGUUCUAGAAGCUGAUUUAGAACUACACAGCUAUGGAUACACCUGAUGAAAACCGCAAAAGGCGAUGACAGGCCCAGAAAUAUGACCAGCAAGCCCGUGAGCCUUUGGGGCAUCCGACUGAAUUUGAAAAUAAUACCCCAUUCAGAUGAACAUUAAAAGCCAAUGUACUGGAAUUCUCUUUGUUCUGCCCGACAUUUGGGGGUGUCCAAGGACCUGUGUUUUUAACAAAGAUGACUUUAUGACCGUUCUAAGGAUUGAACAGAUUCCUGCACAGGGUGCCAGGUUUCAAGUUAGGUCCUCUUAGUAUAAGCUCUCUUUUUUUCUGAAUGUAAACCUAUUUGCAUUGUCAUUUCUAAUAAUCCAGUAGGUUUCUGGAUAUUGUAAAGAUACUGAGUACAGAUAUAACUGUGUAAAUUUCAUAGUGUUUUAUUUUGAGGUGAGAGUUUUGUUAUAGUUUAUAAAAGAUAUUUUCCUAUUCAGACCUCAGGGCUAUUUUGGGACCUACAAAUAAAUGUGAUUCCCAGCAGCUUCAAUUUUUGAUAUUCAAAAAGUUAAUAAUCUUUAAGCUAAAUAUAAUGUGAUAUGAUUCAGAAAAAAAUGUUUUUCCCUUUUAACUUCUAACAAAUUAUGUAUCUAAUGUUUAAAAAAUAUGGAAAAAAGGGAUAAUGUAAAAAUGUGGGAGAAUUGUGGCUAAAGAAUAAAAAAUCACUUGUUAAAACGCA
rnacentral:lncRNA from 1 species